GGCAUUGAGAGUUAGGGACACUCAGAAGGUGCCGUGGGGAUGGUGAUGGCGACUGGGGACAUGCAGGAGGUGCCAUGUGGAUGGCAGUGAGGAUUGGGGCAUCCAGGAGGUGCCGUGGAGAUGGCAUUGAGAGUUAGGGACACUCAGAAGGUGCUGUGGGGAUGGUGAUGGGGAUUGGGGACAUGCAGGAGGUGCCAUGUGGAAGGCAAUGAGGAUUGGGGCAUCCAGGAGGUGCCAUGGAGGUGGCAUUGAGAGUUAGGGACACUCAGAAGGUGCUGUGG